rnacentral:rRNA from 1 species
AUACGUAGGGGGCGAGCGUUGUCCGGAAUGAUUGGGCGUAAAGGGCGCGUAGGCGGCGCGGUAAGUCUGGAGUGAAAGUCCUGCUUUCAAGGUGGGAAUUGCUUUGGAUACUGCCGCGCUUGAGUGCAGGAGAGGUUAUCGGAAUUCCCGGUGUAGCGGUGAAAUGCGUAGAGAUCGGGGGGAACACCAGUGGCGAAGGCGGGUAACUGGACUGCAACUGACGCUGAGGCGCGAAAGUGUGGGGAGCAAACAGGAUUAGAUACCCUGGUAGUCCACGCUGUAAACGAUGAAUGCUAGGUGUAGGGGGUAUCGACCCCUUCUGUGCCGCAGUCAACACAAUAAGCAUUCCGCCUGGGGAGUACGGCCGCAAGGUUGAAACUCAAAUGAAUUGACGGGG